GGAGAGGUGCGAGAGCGGUUGAAUCGGCAUGUCUGGAGAACAUGUGGCUUCGCAAGGGGCUCGAGAGUUCGAAUCUCUCCCUCUCCGCCA
rnacentral:tRNA from 1 species